GCCGUGUUGGCUCAAUGGUAGAGCGUCGCCCUCCUAUUGAUUAUGUAAUCGAUUUCCGAGGCGAAGGCUGCGGGUUCGAGUCCCGUGCUCGGUA